GUUCUGAUGAAGAGUCCCAAACUAGGACGAAACAGCUGUCCAGUAC
rfam:Trichobilharzia regenti genome assembly, scaffold: TRE_scaffold0020334